GAAAUGGUUAAAAUAAGAGAAGCAGGAAUCCAUCAAAAUCCUAGAGGAGAACACAGGCAGCAAUCUCUUUGAGCUUCGCCUUAGCAACUUCUUGAUAGACAUGUCUCCAAAGGCAAGGGAAACAAAGC